CCCCUUAGUCCUGAGAGUCUGAGAGACAGAAGCGAGAGUGCUCCAAGGUUGGUGAAUGAGUUCAGGGGUGCGGGGGCUGGCUGGGAGAUUGGAAGAGCACACGCCU